UAUGUGUUAGAUUUGUUUACACGCGCAGUGGUUUCAUCCUGUUGAGACUAAUUGAUUGGUGCCGGAGUGAAUCUCCUUGUUGAGUCAUGGGACCUUGUCAUUUACAGCUCGCCUGCUGUUAUGAAGAGCUGUCAAUGAGAAGAAUAUUUUGGUCUGACCUUUCACAAUCAAGAUUUAAUUUUAAAAAAAGCGCAAGGAAUCCGUUCUGUUUGCUUGCAUGGGACAGAAAAUGGAAGAUGACGGAGCAACCGAAACCAUUUCUGGUGAUUAAAAUAAUAUCCGUUUGACACUGAUCAAGCGAUAGCAGUUGAUGCUUUUCAUGCAUUCUCUGGACUUAUGUGCGGCGAUCUAUUUCGCUUAAUUAGCAAGCCAGUUUGUAGCCGGGCAAUCAUAAAUCUUGAUUGUGCAAUGUCAGCACAUUGUCUUUGGGCCAAGUUGCUCAGGGGCGAAUCUGACCACUGAUGGCUGAUAUUAAUUAAUGUGCACAUUGUCUCAUUCCAGUUGUUCAACAGCAAUUAAAUGCACCAACAUCCUCUAGUGAUUAAUUAAAGCAUAAAAUGAUUGAGUAUAGUUUAAUUAAACCACAACCCCAUGUCUGAUUGAAAAUACCGCUCAACCUGCUUCGCCAGUUUUACUUUUUCUCAUUUGCAGAGUUCCUUAAUUUAACGGUAAUAUUGAAAUGAAGUCACUGUCCUGAUCAUUUCUAAAGACAGUGACCUUUAUGAAAUGAUAGAUACUGCACUCGAAAAUUGCUGCUGCAGCAAAACGCCAAGAUGUACGUUUAUAUUUUUUGUAUGUUUGUUAUGUGAGAAAGGAAGAAAGGAAUUGAUUUGAAUUUCAUUAACAGUAUCAUAGAAACCACAGCUGGCAGGAGAAGAUAACGCUUUAGAAAGAUAAAUAAACAUUUGACCUUGAUUCUGAACACGCCAUCGAGACAAAGAGAGACUUGCAGCUAUCGUGUUGGGCAGACCGAUACUAACUCCUUACUGAGGCGUUCGGUAUCAGCGGGGAAAUUAGACAACACAAUGCAAAAACAACGCAGUGUGGUGCACCGCUAAGGGAACUCAUUAGAGCACUGCAGCAUAGGAGGAAGCCGCGUGAUGCUUUGCAGCAUGUCAUCAGGGGUGUUGAGGCAGAGUUGGCAGAUAUUGAAAUAUACUAUAAACGUCAGGUUUAAAAGAAUUGAACCAUCAGCAGUCUGGCUCAGCUCGUACUCGAAGUGGAUUUCACAGACAAAGAUCGGCCGUGUCCGAGUG
ensembl:lncRNA